UACGGAGGGGGCUAGCGUUGUUCGGAAUUACUGGGCGUAAAGCGCGCGUAGGCGGCUUUGUAAGUUAGAGGUGAAAGCCCGAAGCUCAACUUCGGAAUUGCCUUUAAGACUGCAUCGCUAGAAUUGUGGAGAGGUAAGUGGAAUUCCGAGUGUAGAGGUGAAAUUCGUAGAUAUUCGGAAGAACACCAGUGGCGAAGGCGACUUACUGGACACGUAUUGACGCUGAGGUGCGAAAGCGUGGGGAGCAAACAGG
rnacentral:rRNA from 1 species